GCGGAAUGUUCAACUCCUAACAGCGGCGGAAGCGUGGGAGCCGCGCGGGCCGCUGUCGUCCCAACCCCCGCCGCCCUCGUCGCGCGCGGGGCCUCCGCGCCCCCCGGCUGCUGCUCGCGCCCCGCCCGGGAGCCAGAUUUUGUGGAAGUAUAAUACUUUGUCAUUAUGAGAUGUCGUCUCUCGGUGCCUCCUUUGUGCAAAUUAAAUUUGAUGACUUGCAGUUUUUUGAAAACUGCGGUGGAGGAAGUUUUGGGAGUGUUUAUCGAGCCAAAUGGAUAUCACAGGACAAGGAGGUGGCUGUAAAGAAGCUCCUCAAAAUAGAGAAAGAGGCAGAAAUACUCAGUGUCCUCAGUCACAGAAACAUCAUCCAGUUUUAUGGAGUAAUUCUUGAACCUCCCAACUAUGGCAUUGUCACAGAAUAUGCUUCUCUGGGAUCACUCUAUGAUUACAUUAACAGUAAUAGAAGUGAGGAGAUGGAUAUGGAUCACAUUAUGACCUGGGCCACUGAUGUAGCCAAAGGAAUGCACUAUUUACAUAUGGAGGCUCCUGUCAAGGUGAUUCACAGAGACCUCAAGUCAAGAAAUGUUGUUAUUGCUGCUGAUGGAGUAUUGAAGAUCUGUGACUUUGGUGCCUCUCGGUUCCAUAACCAUACAACACACAUGUCCUUGGUUGGAACGUUCCCAUGGAUGGCUCCAGAAGUUAUCCAAAGUCUCCCUGUGUCAGAAACUUGUGACACAUAUUCCUAUGGUGUGGUUCUCUGGGAGAUGCUAACAAGGGAGGUCCCCUUUAAAGGUUUGGAAGGAUUACAAGUAGCUUGGCUUGUAGUGGAAAAAAACGAGAGAUUAACCAUUCCAAGCAGUUGCCCCAGAAGUUUUGCUGAACUGUUACAUCAGUGUUGGGAAGCUGAUGCCAAGAAACGGCCAUCAUUCAAGCAAAUCAUUUCAAUCCUGGAGUCCAUGUCAAAUGACACGAGCCUUCCUGACAAGUGUAACUCAUUCCUACACAACAAGGCAGAGUGGAGGUGGGUAGCCCCGACAGCAGGCCACAGCGUCUGGCUUUUAAAGACCAUCACUCGUCUCAUUGAAGAAGUGAACCAGAGAUCUGAAUGACAGUCCUGAUUUCUGAGCAUAGCUUAGGGAAAAAGAAAAGGUUUUUUUAUGAUUUUGGAAAUCGUAUAAGUCCUGCAUUUCAUAAGUAAGCAAGAAAUAGUGUUUCUCCAAGCUUGUUGCCUUGUGUAAGUAUUUGAAAAGAAUAUUGAGGCCAGUCGCGGUGGCUCACGCCUGUAAUCCCAGCUCUUUGGGAGGCCAAGGUGGGCGGAUCACCUGAGGUCAGGAGUUUGAGACCACCUUGACCAACAUGGAGAAACCCUGUCUCUACUAAAAAUACAAAAAAUUAGCCAGGUGUGGUGGCACAUGCCUGUAAUCCCAGCUACUCAGGAGGCUGAGGCAGGAGAAUCACUUGAACCUGGAGGCAGAGGUUGCAGUGAGCUGAGAUCAUGCCAUUGCACUCCAGCCUGGGCAACAAGAGUGAAACUCCGUCUCAAAAAAAAAAAAAAAAAAAAAUUGAAAUCAUGUCUUCUGAGACAAAAGAUGGUUACCAGACAUUUCUCUGUGUUUACUCUUUGUUAGGAAGCUUUGUCCUCUGUUCUGUAAGAAACAAGAAUACUGUUUACCUUGAAAUUCGCAGAGCACUGUGUGUGCUAGUGAAGGGGGAUAGGGAGACAUCAAAAAUACUCUUAAAAGAAAACUUGAUGUCAUAAAUCCUAUUAAAGCUUGUUAAAUAAAUUUAGUAAUGAGAAAAUUGUAUUGCAUGAGUGGAAGAGUAAACCCAGGAUGAAACAUUUGAGCCAGGUCACAUGAUGCAUGAAUAUAAAUAGCAUGUUUGGAAGCUGACAUUAUUCCCCCCCUGACUCAGCAGAGAUUUAGGUAACUUCAUCUCUGCUCCUGAUAGCUGUGGGCAGUAAUGUGACGCCUUACGCCAUCUGCUGAUGCCAAAUGAAUACUGCAUGCACUUUGAAAAUUACUGCAUUGUUUACUCCUGUUACUAGAUACUUCGUUGGGCUUUCUGUUUGUUGUUUUACAAUAACCUUACCUAUUUUUAUUCCUUUGAAAUAUCUAUCUAGGGCCAGUGAGGUAAAUGAAUUUUUAUUUAGGGAUACAAAAAUUAUACAGUGAGCUCAAGUCUAGGUAUAAGGGACUUUUUUCUGGGCUGAGAUAAUUAACAAAACAAAACAUGUAAGUAAUAUUUGUUUUUUGCAGUAAGAGAUCAGUAUACAUGUCAUCAGAUCAUUCUCCUUUAAAAUCCAUAUAUAAGUUCCCAUUACUCUUAAGACAAAGACCAGAAUACUUGGCACAGUGGCUCAUGCCUGUAAUCCCAGCACUUCGGGAGGCCAAGGCGGGUGGAUUACUUGAACCCAGGAGUUCAAGCCCAGCCUGGGUGACAGAGCAAGAAUCAUUCUCAAAGAAUGAAAAGGACCAGAAUACUUAAGAAGACUCACCAGACCCUCAUUACUGUGGCCUCACCAGUGUCAGCUUAAGAAGAUCACUCUCCCCUUAAUUUCUGCCUUUCAGUCCCUCAACAGAUGCAUAUUUCUCCCCUAUUCAGGAUCUUUACAAGCAGUUUCCUCUCUUUGAAGCUUAUCCCGUUUCAGCUGUGUACCACGCCUGCCGUCACACCCCACCUUAACUCCUGUCCAUCACUGACAUAGCAGUUGAAUAACACGUCUGCAGGGAAAUGCUUCCUGACCCCAGGCCAGAUCAGGUUCCACUUUAUGUGCUCUGAGAGCAUCUCCUUCAUAGGCUUUACGGCUAUUGGAAUUAAGAAGUAAUAAGGGCCAGGCACAGUGGCUCACGCCUGUAAUCCCAGCACUUUGGGAGGCCGAGGCAGGUGGAUCACGAGGUCAGGAGAUCGAGACCAUACUGGCUAACACAGUGAAACCCCAUCUCUACUAAAAAUACAAAAAAUUAGCCAGGCAUGGUGGCAGAUGCCUGUAGUCCCAGCUACUCGGGAGGCUGAGGCAGGAGAAUGGCGUGAACCCGGGAGGCGGAGGUUGCAGUGAGCUGAGAUCACGCCACUGCACUCCAGCCUGGGCGACACAGCGAGACUCCGUCUCAAAAAAAAAAAAGAAGUAAUUCGGCAGUUAGUUGUUUAAUGUGUGUCUCACAGGCUGAAACGUAAGAGAGGCAGACAAUCACGUUUGUUCAUCACUCACAGCAUCAAAAUGUGCCUUGAACACAGCAUUUGCUCCGUAAAUAUUUGGGGAAGCAAGAGAGAAAAUUACCAUGGUGGUAAUAAUAUAAAAAGAGAUUGUGAUAUUAUACGGGAGAAUAUAAAUAUGUAUGUUUGCCAUGACAAAAGUACUUCUUAUAUUCAUUCAUUCAUUAUCCAUUCAUUGAACUUCUGCUGGUGUGAGAAUGACUGUUGCCAUUCUGGUACUGGGCUGUAGCGAUGAGCACAAGAGUCCCAGGGCAUGUGGAGCUCUCCAGCCCAAGUGUCCAAUGUUAAACUAUUAAAUAUAUUCAAAACUAUCGCAUUUCUAUUUUGACAAGUAUUAUGACAGAGAAAUAUACUAGAUGUCUGAGAGCAUAUAGCCAUGAAAUCUGAUCUAGUCCAAGGACAUAGUAAAAGGAUUUUGGAGAAAAUGCUAUUUGAUCUAUUACCAAAGGGAUUAGUAAGAUUUUAAUACCAAGAUAGGGAGUCUUUUAAAGUAUGUCAACAAGGCCAGGCAUGGUGGCUAACACCUGUAAUCCCAACACUUUGGGAGGCCGAGGUGAAAGAUUGCUUGAGCCCAGAAGUUCGAGACUAGCCUGGGCAACAUAGACCUCAUCUCUACUCACAAUUUAAAAAUUAGGUGGGCAUUGUGACUCUAACCUGUGGUCCCAGCUACUCAGGAGGCUGCAGUGGGAGGAUCACUUGAGCUGGGGAGGUCAAAGCUGCAUUGAGCCGAGAUCUGGCCAUGACACUCCAGCCUGGGCUACAGAGUGAGAUCCUAUUCAAAAAAAAAAAAAAAGAAAAGAAAAGAAA
rnacentral:sRNA from 1 species